rnacentral:rRNA from 1 species
UACGUAGGGCGCAAGCGUUGUCCGGAUUCACUGGGUGUAAAGGGUGCGUAGGCGGGAAGGUAAGUCCGCGGUGAAAUCUCACAGCUCAACUGUGAAACUGCCGUUGAUACUGCUUUUCUUGAGUUCGGGAGAGGUUGAUGGAAUUCCAGGUGUAGCGGUGAAAUGCGUAGAUAUCGGGAGGAACACCAGUGGCGAAGGCGACUUCCUGGCCUGUUCUUGACGCUGAGGCGCGAAAGCUAGGGGAGCAAACAGG